GGGCAAAUGAGUAGAUCCGCCAUUUUGUUAGUGUGUGCGCGAACAUGGUCGUGGCAUUACAGCGAUAGUUGCGAUAGUGGUCAGAUAAAUACGUUCAAUUAAUGGAUAUUAAAUAAGCGGAUUUGUGUGAUAAACACAAUUAAGAAAUUCAUGUGCAAUUAAAUAACGCAGAUAUUUUUGUAUAAUGCAAAAAAGGCGCAAUAUUACAUUCAAUGAAAACAAUGUUAUGUGCUGAAGAUGUUGUUGGUGAUAAACGUCAGCGUUUAAAAAUAUUGAUUAGAGAAAAAUAAAAUGUGUAAAGUGUUAAUAAACAAAUAACUGACAGUAUGAACCUAAAUCUUGUUCACUUACACCUACCAUUUACUUCAACAACUCUGAGAACUGCACAUAUUCAUCAAGCCAGAAGAUUCGUAGAAACUAAAUAAACGAGAAGGAAUACAAAGCCGGAAUUUCACGGCCCACCUUUUCUACUUAUGACACAAAAUGCACUCAAUCGCAGUCGACAUAAUCGCUUUAACUCUGUUGGAACAUUUUGUAAUUGUGCGAAAGCGAUUUCAAAGAGUGUACCCUUUUAUAAAAAAAUUUCUGAAAAGCAUCCACGGUGAACAACAAUACCAAAUUGGGAAAGUUUUGCCUUCUUAUACUGUUAUCUCGGCGGUGACUGCAUCAGUUUCGAGUGAUCCACUUCGGCAAAUUAAACCAUUUUUGGAAAAUACAACUUUUCACAACAAGCGUAUUAUGUUUUAAACUACCGAGCCAUCUAUUAAUCUUAUAUAAUUUCGCGCUUUUGACACAAACAAUAUAAACUUUCAAUUUACCGUUUGCAAAAUUUGGACUAUAUUAUAGAAAAACCGUUUCGUUUAUCAGAUACAAAAUAAAGUGAUAGCCUGCAAAACUUUCAUUCAUCUACAUACAUUAAGAGCAAAAUAAGGAUAUCUCCAUGAUGGCAGAUCAUUUGGAUGAACCGCCUCAAAAGCGGACAAAAAUGGAUCCAACGGAUUAUGUGUCUGUCUUAGAAGAUGAUCUACCAGACGAACUUGUUACUGCCAACAGUAAUUGGCCAGAUCCUUUGGGUGGCGGGCCCGGAGGUCCAGGAUCUGGUCUUGGAGUCAAUGUAGUUGGUGGGCCUAACAAACCGCCUGCUCAAGGUCCCGGACCAGGUGGAUCACAAAUGAAUGGAGGUGGUGACGAUACAUCGGGUGUGGGUGGUAAUCAAGUAGGUGGAAAUCCUUUGAGACAAAUGCAACACCAUCAACAUCUGCAACAGUUAUUGCAACAACAAGGAAAUAAAAAUCCCGGAAUGAUAGGAAAUCCAAUGGGCGGAGGGGGCUUAAAUCAACUAGGAAGUAAAUCACCUAACAUGCAGUCACCAAACGCAGCUGGAAUGCAAGUAGUUAGUGGGCAGAUGGGCAUGGUGAAUUCUAUGUCUAUGUCGAUUUCUAACAAUGGAAAUCAAGGAAUGAAUACAAUGCCUGGCAUGAAUACCAUUGCUCAGGGUAAUUUAGGAGGCAUGGUGAUCACCAAUAGUAAUUUGGGCAGUUUGGGUGGAAAUGCUGGAAUGGUAAACACAUUGAAACAACAAAUUAGUGCUGGCGCUGGAGGCAUGAUGACAGCUGGUCCUGGUGGAGUUGGACCAGUUGGGAAUAUGGGUCCUGUUGGCGGACCAAAUCAAGGAAUGCAUUUAGGUGGCGGACCAGGUCAUCCGCAAGGCUUACAGAAUGGUCCAAUGAUGGGAAGAAUGGUCGGACAACAUCUACCACGUGGCCCCAAUCCACAUUUAAUGGCUGGCAAUGGACCUGGAGUUGGACCAGGCGGAGGUCCACGAAUGCAGAAUCCAAAUAUUCAAAUGGCUCAACGACCAGAUGUGUUAAACGGUAAUCUAACAUACGGUGGUCCAGGUCAAAUGGCGAACAUGGUUGGCGGCAAUGUUCCAGUCGGGCCUAAUGGACCCUAUGGAAAUACCGUAGGUGGUGUUGGAAAUUAUGGUGGUCCGGGUGGACCUCAAAGUGGGCUGAAUGUAAACCCAAAUAAUCCGCAGCAGCAACUUUUGGCACAACAAAUGGCUCAACGUGGCGGAGUUCAUCACAUGCUACAGGGAAGCCGACCUGGAGUGCCAAUGGGAAUGGCUGGUGUUGGAAAUGAUGGUACAGCGGGAGGUCUAGUAGGUGGUCCUCAACAACAACAGCAGCAACAGCAACAAAUGGGUCCAAACCAACAACAAAAUACGCAAGGUGGUGUUAUGGGAGGCUCGGGAAUGGGACCUCGACCACCACAACCAGGAGGUGGUCCACAACAAAAUCAAAUUCUCCAUCAACAGCAACAACAACAACCAGGCACUUCACAACAGUCAAGUGGUGGUGCAGCUGGUGGUAGUAGCACAGGUGGUGGCUCUGGUGGCGGAGGUCAACAUCUAUCCGAGGAACGCAAAAAACAUAUACAACAACAACUCGUUCUAUUAUUACAUGCACACAAAUGUAAUCGCCGCGAAACCCUCAAUCCUAACCGAGAAAAAUGUAUAGUACCAUAUUGUAAGUCCAUGCAAGAUGUACUGGCGCAUAUGGCAACCUGUAAACAGAGUAAAGAAUGUAGUGUACAACAUUGUACCUCUUCUCGGCAAAUUCUGUUGCAUUAUAAGACUUGUACGCGUUCGGAUUGUAUUAUUUGCUUUCCGUUUCGACAGCAACAGUAUGGGCCAAACGCCAGCGGAGCGAAUGCCAACGCAAAUGCUAAUCAACCUUUGCAAAAUAUGGUAAAGCAACAACAACAACAACAACAGCAACAUCAGCAACCCGACGGAAGUUCUGUAGGUGGAGGUGGUCCUCAAAAUUCUGGAAUAACUCAACAGAAUACCGGUGGACCAAAUAUUGUUACCGGGCCGGGCGGACAAAUGGGCAUGCCCGGUGGUCCAAAUCAACAACAGUUAGGCGUUAAGCCGAAUGUGGACAUUUCACAACAAAUGCAACAACAAAAUGCACAGAAUCCGAAUCAAGAGAUACGACGUUUCGACAGUUUGGGCAUGCAAGGUGCUGUUUCUAAUGCAGGACCGGGAGCUAACAUGUUACAGAACAAUGCGGUGAAUACCCAGCAGCAAUUGCAGGGUAUACGCAUGCCGGGGGGCGGACCAGCAGUUCGUGUUAUGUCUGCGCAAGUUGGAGGACCCGGAGGUGGCAUUGGUACCGGUUCAAACGCCAACACUAUAAUGGGCAAUAACAUGAUGAUUGGCGGUGCUGCUGGCCAAGAUGGUGGCAUGCAACAGCAAACACAAAAUGUUCAACAACAGGUGCUUUUACAGGGCGGAAGUGGCGGAGGACAUAACCCACAGUUGGCAGGUUUAAUUAGUGGACCGAAUACCAGCAAUGCGGGUCAAAAUCAACAAAAUGCUGGACAGCAGCAACAGCAAUCAAACAUUCCUCUUUCAGUGAACGUUCACAAUUUUAACAACAAUUCCACGUUUAACAAUGCGCAGUUAAGUGCCAAUACCGGCAAUACAGGUGACAUGGUAGGCAUAGGUGGAAAUGGUCCUCCACCGAACAAGCAGAUGGUGAGCGCACAAGAGUUGGCGAAAUUAAAAUUGCAAUCGCAUAAUGUAGCAAUGGCUAAUUCAACAACUGUAAGUGGCACAUCUGGCGGACCUGGCGGAGUUGUAGGAGGUAACGGUAGUUCAGGUGGACCCGCCGCACCAGGGGGAAAUGGCGUAAAUUCUGGUAUGGUAGGCCCUCAAGCUAACAAUGCACAAAGCGGUGGGGCAACAACGUCACAAGGAGGCGCAAACAACAAUACUGGAUCGGAAGAAAGAGACUGGCGGGAGUCAGUAACAGCAGAUUUACGAAAACAUCUUGUGCACAAACUUGUGCAAGCAAUAUUCCCAACAUCGGAUCCAACAACUAUGGCUGAUAAACGUAUGACUAAUCUGGUUUCAUACGCAGAGAAAGUUGAAAAAGAUAUGUACGAAGCAGCCAAGUCGCGAUCAGAGUAUUAUCACUUGCUUGCUGAAAAGAUCUAUAAAAUACAAAAGGAAUUGGAAGAGAAGCGUAUCAAACGAAAAGAGCAACAAAUGCUAAUAAUGCAGCAACAGCAACAAAGCUCUGGAGGAGGAGGAUCCGGCCCAGGGCCGAGUAACGCGGUUCCAGUUGGUCAACAACUUCCUCCUGGUCAUCCUCAAGCACAACAAACCCAAAUCCGACCAAUGAUUAGCCCUAUGGGUGGCGCUGGAGGGCAGGGUAUGCCAAUGGGAGCUACCGGUAUGAUGCAACCGCAAAUGAGAGGACAAGCUCCAGGUAACGUGGGCAUGAUGCCUGGACAGGGCGGUCAAAAUAUGGUAGGAAUACGGAGUCACUCUCCUGGGGGUAAUUUGCUAGCUUUACAUCAACAGCAACAACAAAGGAUGCAAUUCCCUCAACAGCAACAAGGCAAUUUACUGGUCGGUCCACCAGGUCCCAGUCCAAAUAGUGGCAUGGGUACAAUGCCUACAUCUACACCACAGAGUAUUGUCGUGCCAAGUCCAGUUUUGUCCCCCUACGGUGUCCAAGUGAUUCCAGCUAGUCAAGUAGGUCCCGGGGGUGUCACAAAUGUAUUGACAAGUCCAGUGCCUUGUCCACAGCAGUUCAUCACUGCAAACGGCGCCAACGGAACACAGUCGGCUCAGCAAAUUUCCGAAAUAAUGAAACAACGGCUUAUGCAAGCUCAACACCAGCAGCAACAACAACAGCAACAGCAGCAACAACAACAAUCGAAUAUGUUGUUACCACAAUCACCAUUCAAUAAUCCUGCACAUAUACAACAGCAGCAACAACAAAAUCCCUUCCCCUCACCCAUGUCGCAGCAGCAGCAGCAACAACAACAACAACAGCAACAGCAGCAACAACAACAGCAGCAGCAACAACAACAGCUACAACAGCAGCAGCAGCAGCAACAACAACAACAACAGCAACAGAAGCAAAAUGCAGGAACAGUGGGAAAUAUGCCGCCAACACCUACUAGUCUAGAGUCUUUAGUCAGUGGGGGUUCGGUUGGUACGAAUGCUGCAAUUGGUGGUCCCGCAACAGGUGGCAUGGUUGCAGCUCCUAGUCCCUCACCUAAUUUCCUGCCAAAUGGUCCAAUAGGUACCCCAUCAAACAAUCCACCAUCGGUUACAUCACUUAUGCAGCCCCUGAGUGAACGUGCAAGCAGCACUCCUCCCAUUAUGGCGGCUUCACCAUCAUCUGGAGUACCUGGUACCUCGUUGUCGGUGAAUGCUAGUAUAGCGUCAAGUACUACUGGCGUACCAAUGAGUGGUACAGGAACAACAUUAACCACAACCGCAUCAUCUUCCAGCUCUGCUGUAUCGGUGACAGUACCAUCUAAUACUGUCAAUACAAGUAGUAAUGGUCCCACAAUAGCUCAACAACAACAACAAAUAUCAAUGGGAAAAGGCGGUAAUAGCAACAGCAGUAGUAGCGCGAGCACAGCAGCCACCACUACCUCAACAUCGACUGUAAUGAGUUCACGUCCUUCAUCUAGCAGUAAUCUUUCAUCACAAAUGGCCGCCUUAGAAGCGGCCGCCCGCGAUAACGAUGAGACUCCUCCAUCGCCAAGUGCGGACUCUGGCGGUGAGAGUGGUAAUGCUUCGAAAGGCAAGUUGGACUCUAUUAAACAGGAAGAUGAUAUUAAAAAGGAGUAUAUGGAAGAUGGCAGUGGCGGGGCUGGAGAUAAUUCCCAAAUGGACUCAUCAUCAGCCGGUGUAGGUAAAAAUGCCAACAAUGAUGGCACCAAUUCGAAAAAUGAAAUCAAGACUGAAGACGGUGAUUCCCUAAUAAAAGCUGAACCAAUGGACACUGACGAUAACAGUGGCACCAAUGGUGUAGGUAGGAGCGGAAAUGCCAGCGCUGAUAACAAACACGACCCAAAAUCAUCGACAGAUGGCGAUGUUAAAAUGAAAUCAGAAACAAAACCGGUAGUACCGGAGCCACUGAUGCCAAAUGCUGGUGAUAAAAAGAAGAAAUGCGUAUUUAAUCCCGAGGAGUUAAAACAAGCGCUGUUGCCAACUCUAGACAAGCUGAUGCACCACGAACCCGAAUCAGCACCGUUUCGUUGUCCUGUGGAUCCACAAAUACUUGGCAUACCAGACUACUUUGAUAUUGUCAAGAAGCCCAUGGAUUUGGGUACCAUACGAAAUAAUUUGAUGAAUGGCAAAUACAAUGAUCCAUGGGAAUAUGUCGACGAUGUGUGGCUAAUGUUUGACAAUGCCUGGCUGUAUAAUCGGAAAACUUCGCGUGUUUACCGAUAUUGUACAAAGCUAUCUGAGGUAUUUGAGCAAGAAAUAGAUCCAGUGAUGCAAGCUUUGGGGUACUGUUGUGGACGAAAAUACACAUUUAAUCCGCAGGUGCUGUGUUGCUUUGGAAAACAGCUUUGUACUAUCCCACGUGAUGCCAAGUAUUACAGUUAUCAAAAUAGUCUAAAGGAUUAUGGUGUUGCCUCAAACAGAUACACCUUUUGCCAGAAAUGCUUCAACGACAUACAAGGAGACACCGUUACUCUGGGUGAUGAUCCACAACAGUCUCAAACUCAAAUUCGUAAAGAUCAAUUCAGAGAGAUGAAAAAUGAUCAUUUGGAGCUCGAACCGUUUGUUGAUUGUCAGGAAUGCGGUCGCAAGCAACAUCAGAUAUGUGUACUGUGGCUAGAUACAAUUUGGCCCGGCGGCUUUGUGUGUGAUAACUGUUUGAAGAAAAAGAAUUCUAAACGGAAGGAGAACAAAUUUAAUGCAAAACGUUUGCCUACCACAAAACUGGGAAUAUACAUUGAGACACGUGUUAAUAACUUUUUGAAGAAAAAAGAAGCCGGUGCCGGUGAAGUGCAUAUUCGUGUUGUAUCAUCUUCAGAUAAAUGUGUAGAAGUGAAACCAGGUAUGCGACGACGAUUUGUUGAUAACGGUGAAAUGUCUUCGGAAUUUCCGUACCGAGCGAAAGCACUAUUCGCCUUUGAGGAAGUGGAUGGUGUUGACGUAUGCUUCUUUGGCAUGCAUGUACAAGAAUAUGGCUCUGAGUGUCCGCAACCGAAUACGCGGCGUGUCUACAUUGCUUAUUUGGAUUCCGUGCAUUUCUUUAAACCACGUCAGUAUCGUACCGCUGUGUAUCACGAAAUUCUGCUGGGUUAUAUGGACUAUGUUAAACAAUUAGGGUACACCAUGGCUCACAUUUGGGCAUGUCCACCUUCUGAGGGUGAUGAUUACAUAUUCCAUUGCCAUCCGACAGAUCAAAAAAUACCAAAACCAAAACGAUUACAAGAAUGGUACAAAAAGAUGUUGGAUAAAGGCAUGAUUGAGCGUACCAUACAGGAUUACAAAGACAUAUUGAAGCAAGCUAUGGAAGACAAAUUAACUUCUGCUGCAGAAUUGCCUUAUUUUGAAGGUGAUUUUUGGCCCAAUGUACUGGAAGAAAGCAUUAAGGAAUUGGACCAGGAGGAAGAGGAAAAACGUAAACAGGCAGAAGCAGCAGAAGCCGCAGCAGCCGCAAAUAUAUUCUCGAUUGAGGAUAAUGAAGUAAGCGGCGACGGAAAGAAAAAGGGCCAGAAAAAGGCAAAAAAAUCAAAUAAAUCUAAAGCUGCACAGCGUAAAAAUAACAAGAAAAGUAAUGAGCAACAAACAGGCAAUGACCUAUCUGCCAAGAUUUACGCCACUAUGGAAAAACACAAAGAGGUGUUCUUUGUGAUACGCUUGCAUUCGGCGCAAUCAGCUGCAAGCUUAGCGCCAAUACAAGAUCCAGAUCCACUUUUAGCCUGUGAUUUAAUGGAUGGUCGUGAUGCGUUCCUUACGUUGGCGAGAGAUAAACAUUUCGAAUUUUCAUCACUUCGCCGCGCACAAUUUUCUACCCUCUGCAUGUUGUAUGAACUGCACAACCAGGGACAAGACAAGUUUGUUUACACUUGCAACAACUGUAAAACUGCGGUCGAAACGCGAUACCAUUGUACUGUUUGUGAUGACUUCGAUCUCUGUUCGGUGUGCAAGGAGAAAGUUGGUCAUCCACAUAAAAUGGAGAAACUUGGACUCGACAUUGAUGAUGGUUCAUCACCAGCUGAUCUCAAGCAAGCUAAUCCUCAAGAAGCUCGCAAACAAUCCAUACAGCGCUGCAUACAGUCACUGGUGCAUGCUUGCCAGUGUCGAGAUGCAAAUUGUCGUCUUCCAUCGUGUCAGAAGAUGAAACGUGUCGUACAGCACACGAAAAACUGCAAACGAAAGACCAAUGGCGGAUGUCCAAUUUGCAAGCAGCUUAUUGCGCUUUGCUGCUACCAUGCUAAACACUGCCAGGAGCAGAAAUGUCCAGUACCCUUCUGUCCAAAUAUCAAGCAUAAGCUCAAACAGCAACAAUUACAACAAAAAUUACAACAGCAGCAACUUCUACGUCGUCGUAUGGCACUUAUGACUCGAACCGUUACAACACCGGCAGCUUUGGCCGGUGGACCUGUGGUUGGAACUGGUCCAGUUGUAGGGCCAGGAGGUGUUGUCGGACCUGGUGGCGUUGGCGUUGGCGUUGGAGUAGGAGUACCAGGAGUGGGAGUGGCUCAGCCAACCAUGCCUGGGCAACCUGCUCUAAUGUCAGUUACUGCAGCGGGUGGUAUGAGCCCCUCUACUGUAGCUGUACCUUCUCCAGUUUCGGCGCCGAUGGGUGGCGGAAUGACUUCACCACACCCUCAUCAACCUGGUAUCGGAAUGAAGCCAGGCGGAGGACAUUCGCCUUCGCCGACGGUGCUGCAAGUUGUUAAGCAGGUACAGGAGGAAGCCGCUCGGCAGCAAGGUGGUCCUAUGCCUCCACCUGUAAUUCAACGACAUAUUGGUGGAAUGCCUAACCAAGGCAAUCCAGGCGGUGGUAUGAUUGGAAGUAAUGUUGGAAAUGUGGGUGUUGGUGUUGGUGUUGGUGGUGUUGGUGUGAAUCAAAUGGGACCUAGUGGCGUAAAUACCGUCAUGGGUAAUAAUAUGCCUAUGGAUCAGUGGAAUAGCGGUAAUCGUUAUCAAGGUAACGCCAACCAGGGUAUGCGUCAACCCAACCAAACACAAGUGCAAAUGCAGCAAAACACGAUGCAAUCGAAUAUGAUGAGUAUGGUGGGUGCUGGUGGUUCAACUCAAAUGCUUGGUGGUCCUGUUGGCAAUAUGGGUGCUGGCAAUGCUGGUGGUGGUAUAACAGGCAAUGCUGGUAUCAGUGGAAUGAAUAGCCCUGGUGGUGGCAUGGGUGGUAUGGUCGCUGGCGGCCAGGUGGGUGUACCCGGAGGUAAUAUUCGACCGCAAGGUGGUCAGCAUGGUGGUGCUGUGGGCAGUGGACAAACCUUGAACGAAGCUCAGCUUGCACUUAUUAUGCAGAAGAUCAAAAAUAAUCCAUCGCAUGACAACCAACAGAUAUUACAAGUUCUAAAGCGUAACCCCCAAAUAAUGGCUGCCAUAAUCAAACAAAGAUCACAAAGCCAGCCUAGUGCCAGCGGUAGCAGUGGAGUUGCGACGACUGUAAAUGGGCCGCAGCAACAGCAACAACAGCAGCAGCAGCAACAACAAGUAAUGCAACAAAAUCAGCAGCUGCAGCAUAUGAUGAGUCAACAACAGCAAAUGCCCCAAGCUAAUCAACAGCAAGUGGUGAUGCAGCCACAACAACCGGGUCCUCCACAUCAACGUAUGCCAGGCAUGCAAAACCCAAUGAUGAUGCAACAACAACAGCAAGUACCUGGUGGUAUGCAACAGCAACAGAUACCGAAUGUACAAUGGUUCAAGGCGCGUCAAAUGCCAAUGCCCAACUACCCGCCACCAUAUCCUCAAAGACAACGUGCACCACCAUUAAUGGGUGGCGGUGGAGGACAACAAUACGGUGGUGGUAACUUUGGACCUGGAGGGCCGGGAGACCAAUAUACAGCAGCUGCUGCUAUGCAACAAGGCCUGAAGCCACCAACACCGCAACAACAAAUGGGUGGUAUGCCGGGCGCUGUGGGACAGCAACAACAACAGCAACAGCAAAUGAUGCAAGGAGGUAACGUGGUUGGUGGUCCUGGUGUAGGUAUGGUUGGUGGUCCUAAUGUAAUGGGCCCACCGACACCCCACACGUUGCAACAACAAUUAAUGCAAACGACUGCGCGCGCUUCACCGCCAAUACGUUCACCACAACCAACACCGUCACCACGUUCAGCGCCAUCACCUCGAGGAGGAGGCCCAUCAGCAUCGCCACGAGCACAACCGUCGCCACAUCAUGUAAUGAGCCAUUCGCCAGCUCCAGGCCCACCACACGACGGUGGGCUACAUAACCAUGUUGGCGGUAUGCAUGCACCGCAUCAAUCACCAUUGCCAGGUGGUGUUUCACAGGAUGUAGGUGUUGGUGGUGUUGUUGGUGGCGGAGUUGUUGGCGGUGCGGGUCCUAGCCAAGCUGUUGCCGAUGCAUCCGACCAGUUGACCAAGUUUGUGGAACAACUCUAGUGCAGCAAUUAACAGCUACAAACAUCUCCAAGCCCGUUCACCAGCAAUAGCAACAAGAUGUAUCCGCGUUAUUACUGAGAUAUAACGUAAUUGUGCAAAUGUACAGGUUUUUUUUUUUUUUGAUCAUAUUUAUUAUUUCCAACUUAGUUAAAUUUUUUAAUUUAUAUAUGUUUAGUUUUUGUGAAAACAAAUCUAUUUCCAAAAAUUAGAAUUAGUAUUUAAUUGUUUCUUUGAAUUAUACCUAUAGUUAUGAAUAGUGUGUAGUUUUUUUUUAUAAAGUUAUCAUCAUACGUUCCAUUGCGACCUUGUCACUCUUUACAUUCAAGAAUGAAUAACUGCUUGCUGAGCGAUGCUUUAGUAGAUGCAUACACGUAGUACUCAAGAUAGACAAAAUCGAUCAAAGAAUCAGUAUAAGAUGAUGUCACCAGUAAGGUGAUUUUUUAAGGUUUUGACGAGAUUUUCCAACUGUUCAGCUGUUAUUACAC
rnacentral:misc_RNA from 1 species